rnacentral:snRNA from 1 species
AUACUUACCUGGCAGGAAUACCAUGAUCAAGAAUGGUUCACCCAUGCGAGCCUGCCAUUGCACUCCGUGGGGCUGACCUAUGCGAAUUCCCCAAAUGUGGGAAUCUCGACUGCAUAAUUUGGUAGUGGGGACUGCGUUCGCGCUCUCCCCUG